GCCGGAUGAGGUGGUGUGUGCCUGUAGUCCCAGCUAUUUGGGAGGCUGAGGCAGGAGGAUCGCUUGAGGCCAGGAGUUCUGGGCUGUAGUGCGCUAUGCUAAUCGGGUGUCUGCACUAAGUUCAGCAUCAGUAUGGUGACCUCCUGGGAGCGGGGGACCACCAGGUUGCCUAAGGAGGGGUGAACUGGCCCAGGUCGGAAAUGGAGCAGGUCAAAACUCCCAUGCUGAUCAGUCGUGGGAUCACAUCUGAGAAUUGCCACUGCACUCCAGCCUGGGCAACAUAGCGAGACCCCAUCUCU
rnacentral:SRP_RNA from 1 species